rnacentral:misc_RNA from 1 species
UUAAGUUCAGCGGGUAGUCUUACCUGAUUUGAGAUCAAAGGUUCAGGGGUGUUGUCCUUCAGUGAAGAAGGUUAUAAGCCAGAGCGUCUCCGACGUUGUCGCUCAGGACAGCAUGAAUCGGCAUAGAUACUUAUCACACCGGUCAAGCCAUCAAGAUCAACUCAAAGCUAAUGAUUUCAAGAGGAGCCAGCAGAUGAUGC